UAAGUACAGUUUCAUGAGUAGAGGUCUCAA
rnacentral:piRNA from 1 species